rnacentral:lncRNA from 1 species
CUUUUCCUUAUAAGGUAUACAUCCCUAUGGCUGAAGUUGAAUGACAGCCUCUCUCAGGCCAUGACAGGAUGACAAGGUGAGCUACAAGGAAACUGCAGUGAAGUUUGGCUCCAAGCAUGACACAGACAUGGGCUGACCUUGAAGAAAAAAAAAGACUAAACGCUACCUACGCUCAAUGUUCCACACCUCUUAAGCCAGUAAUCCUGUAUCUGGUGUCGGGCAGCAAAGAAAAUAAAAUAUACCUCGUCUGUGCUCCAUUUGGAAACUUUACUGGCAGGGAUUCCUGCGACAGUUGGAAGAAGUUUGCUUUGCUGCUCCCAGCGCAAGGGCAGACAUGGAAUUGGGGACUUAAAGGACAGAAAGACAGCUGACCGACGCUGUGCCUGCUGGACGGUGGGUUCUUCCCGGGCACCUGGUCAAUGAAAACAAAUGGGAAAUCACUCUCUGAAAGCAG